AAUGAACGCUGGCGGCGCGCCUAAUACAUGCAAGUCGAGCGAGAAGACGUAGCAAUACGUUUGUAAAGCGGCGAACGGGUGAGGAAUACAUGGGUAACCUACCCUCGAGUGGGGAAUAACUAGCCGAAAGGUUAGCUAAUACCGCGUACGCUUCUUGGACUUCGGUUCAGGGAGGAAAGCGAUACCGUGGGUAUCGCGCCCUUGGAUGGGCUCAUGUCCCUAUCAGCUUGUUGGUGAGGUAACGGCUCACCAAGGCUUCGACGGGUGGCUGGUCUGAGAGGACGAUCAGCCACACUGGCACUGCGACACGGGCCAGACUCCUACGGGAGGCAGCAGUAAGGAAUAUUGCGCAAUGGGCGAAAGCCUGACGCAGCGACGCCGC
rnacentral:rRNA from 1 species